GACGAACGCUGGCGGCGUGCUUAACACAUGCAAGUCGAACGAAGAGCGAUGGAAGCUUGCUUCUAUCAAUCUUAGUGGCGAACGGGUGAGUAACGCGUAAUCAACCUGCCCUUCAGAGGGGGACAACAGUUGGAAACGACUGCUAAUACCGCAUACGAUCUAACCUCGGCAUCGAGGAAAGAUGAAAGGUGGCCUCUAUGUAUAAGCUAUCACUGAAGGAGGGGAUUGCGUCUGAUUAGCUAGUUGGAGGGGUAACGGCCCACCAAGGCGAUGAUCAGUAGCCGGUCUGAGAGGACGAACGGCCACAGUGGGACUGAGACACGGCCCAGACUCCUACGGGAGGCAGCAGUGGGGAAGCUUCCGCAAUGGACGAAAGUCUGACGGAGCAACGCCGCGUGAGUGAGGACGGCCUUCGGGUUGUAAAGCUCUGUUAAUCGGGACGAAAGGCCUUCUUGCGAAUAGGGAGAAGGAUUGACGGUACCGGAAGAGAAAGCCACGGCUAACUACGUG
rnacentral:rRNA from 1 species